rnacentral:rRNA from 1 species
GACGAACGCUGGCGGCGUGCUUAACACAUGCAAGUCGAACGGUAAGGCCCUUCGGGGUACACGAGUGGCGAACGGGUGAGUAACACGUGGGUGAUCUGCCCUGCACUUCGGGAUAAGCCUGGGAAACUGGGUCUAAUACCGGAUAGGACUCCUGGCUUCAUGGUUGGGGGUGGAAAGCUUUUGCGGGGUGGGAUGGGCCCGCGGCCUAUCAGCUUGUUGGUGGGGUAAUGGCCUACCAAGGCGACGACGGGUAGCCGGCCUGAGAAGGUGACCGGUCACACUGGGACUGAGAUACGGCCCAGACUCCUACGGGAAGCAGCAGUGGGGAAUAUUGCACAAUGGGCGCAAGCCUGAUGCAGCGACGCCGCGUGAGGGAUGACGGCCUUCGGGUUGUAAACCUCUUUCAGCUAUGACGAAGCGCAAGUGACGGUAGUAGCAGAAGAAGGACCGGCCAACUACGUGCCAGCAGCCGCCGUAA